rnacentral:lncRNA from 1 species
UUACCUUUCGAGUUUUGAAUACGAUUCAUCCGAAAAUAGCAGAGAUCUUUUUGCUUUCUGAUUUUAAGAUUAUGGAAACUUCUUGCGCAGGUUUAUAUAUAAGCCAUGCAUUUUCAAUCAAAAAUCAUUUAUAAUUCUUAUUUUAAUGUGUAUUUAUUAUGAUUGAGUUUUCUAAUAUGAAUUUUGCAGGUCAUUACGAUUGGUCGGAGGGGAACCUCAAUCCUCGAUUCAGCACUGUAGAUGAAGAAAUUAAUGGCAAUCUUGAUCUCCUUGAGAUCCCUCAAUAUGGAAGAAAUCCUGACCACACUGGUUAAAUAUAUGCAGUGUUAGUAUUUUGUGUUAUGUGUAAAUAAAUAAAAGGAUGGGUAGCGUUAUUACCUGUCAAUUGUGUGAGUCUCAGUUUGCUUCAGUUCAGC